rnacentral:rRNA from 1 species
GACGUAGGGCGCGAGCGUUGUCCGGAUUUAUUGGGCGUAAAGAGCUCGUAGGUGGUUUGUCGCGUUGUUCGUGAAAACUCACAGCUCAACUGUGGGCGUGCGGGCGAUACGGGCAGACUUGAGUACUGCAGGGGAGACUGGAAUUCCUGGUGUAGCGGUGGAAUGCGCAGAUAUCAGGAGGAACACCGGUGGCGAAGGCGGUUCUCUGGGACGGUACUGACGCUGAGACGCGAAAGCGUGGGGAGCGAACAGG